rnacentral:rRNA from 1 species
GUUCGAGCAUGUGUGCCUCUCUUCUUGGGAAGCUCCCUCGACCCCAUGAACCCCUUGACCUCAAAAUCGGGUGAGACUACCCGCUGAACUUAAGCAUAUCAAUAAGCGGAGGAAAAGAAACUAACAAGGAUUCCCCUAGUAACUGCGAGUGAAGCGGGAAAAGC